rnacentral:rRNA from 1 species
AUUGAACGCUGGCGGCAGGCCUAACACAUGCAAGUCGAGCGAGCGGCGGACGGGUGAGUAAUGUAUGGGGACUGCCCGAUAGAGGGGGAUAACUAAUGGAAACGGUGGCUAAUACCGCAUACUAUCGGAAAACCCAUCUGGGAUUAGCUAGUAGGUGGGGUAACGGCUCACCUAGGCGACGAUCCCUAGCUGGUCUGAGAGGAUGAUCAGCAACCCUGUGACGUAGCCACGGCCCAGACUCCUACGGAGUCAGCAGUGUGGAAUAUUGCACAAUGGGCGCAAUCCUGAUUCAGCCAUGCCGCGUGUAUGAAGAAGGCCUUAGGGUUGUAAAGUACUUUCAGCGGGGAGGCGUUACCCGCAGAAGAAGCACCGGCUAACUCCGUGCCAGCAGCCGCGGUAAUAC